CAGAUCUGUGAUCUGUGUGGUUUUCUGGAGAAUCCAGACUGUAAAAUGGAGACUCUGAGCUCUGAACAGAAACAAUGGAGCAGGAACGUUGUCUUCUAAAGGCACAUGUUUCAUUCUUUAUUCAGACUGAGCUCCUGCAGUUUGUCAGAGACCAGCUGUGCUUCUCUGGCCUCAGCUCUGAAGUCCAACCCCUCCUAUCUGAGAAAGCUGGACCUGUGGGGAAACAACCUGCAGGAUUCAGACCUGAAGGAGCUGUGUGAUCUUGUGGAGAGUCCAGACUGUCGACUGGAGACUCUGAGGUGGAAGUGAUGAGCUGUAUCCUGAAGAUCCAGAGAGGCUGAAGCAACAGCUUGUUACUGGGAGGUCGAGUAGAGAGGAGAUGAUGAAUCAUGACAGAAGUCAUUUCACUGCACUUUUCAUGUAGAGCAGAUAUAGACUGUGCCUGUUCAUAACGUCCAUCUGAAGUGAAUCUGAAGCUUCAGCAGAGUUAGAAAACCAGCGUUUCAGUUUCAAAGAUUUUUUUACUUUAACUUUGGAAGAUUUGUUGAACCCUCAUGUUGUCUUCAGCCUUUGAAUGUAUUAUUGUACAUGAGGAACACAUUGUUUCUAUAUCUUCCAUUAAAUUAGCAUUAGUGAGGAAUAAUUAUAAAGACUAAGAACUCUUUCAGUGUGUUUAGGGGCGUGUGAAUGUUGAUAUAAGAUUAGAUGUUGAUAUUGAUUUAAUUAAUCACUUAUUACCUAUACUUUACAGAUGGGUGAUAAUUUAAUAGAAAACAGUAUGACAGUGCCUCCAUACUUUUCUUAGGGCACAAGGGGUCACUGAAUGGUUUAAUGAGUUUGAAAAUGAUGUGAAUCAUAUGGUAUAACCUUCACAGUCCAGAUCUCAACCCAGCUGAACACAUAUGGAAGAUUUUGGACUGUUUGACAGUGCUCUCCACCACCACCAAUCAAAACUCUGAAUAAGGGAAUAUCUUUUGGAAGAAUGAUGUUCAAUCCCUCCUGGUGAGACCUGGUGUCCCAAGACCUCACUAAGACACUGGUCUUUCCUUUAAUUUGUCACCUAUCUGUACUUACUAUUCCUUACUGCUUUAUCUUUGGUGUUUAGUUCUGAUGUUUUAUAGCAGAAUAAUUAACAUAUGUAAAUUCAUAUUUCACAGCAUUUAUUAUACACUCUUCUGUUCUUAUUGCACUCCAACCUUUCUUAAACUGUACACUGUAUUUCUGAGUAAUACUGUUUCUGAUAUAUGUGUGUGUGUGUGUGUGUGUAUUGUAUUUUUAUUUAAUUCUACUUUAGUACAUACAGUAUAUAGUGUAUUUUAUAAUAUACAGUUCUGCAGAUCUGCAGCUCUGCAGUUGUGGUUUUAAUUGUAAUUCUCUUGUUAUCCACAGAUUGCAGUAACAUUACUAUUUCACUCUCAAGUCAAUAAAGUCUGUGUCUAUCUACA